rnacentral:rRNA from 1 species
CGAGUGAAGCGGCAAAAGCUCAAAUUUGAAAUCUGGCACCUUCGGUGUCCGAGUUGUAAUUUGAAGAAGGUAACUUUGGAGUUGGCUCUUGUCUAUGUUCCUUGGAACAGGACGUCACAGAGGGUGAGAAUCCCGUGCGAUGAGAUGCCCAAUUCUAUGUAAAGUGCUUUCGAAGAGUCGAGUUGUUUGGGAAUGCAGCUCUAAGUGGGUGGUAAAUUCCAUCUAAAGCUAAAUAUUGGCGAGAGACCGAUAGCGAACAAGUACAGUGAUGGAAAGAUGAAAAGAACUUUGAAAAGAGAGUGAAAAAGUACGUGAAAUUGUUGAAAGGGAAGGGCUUGAGAUCAGACUUGGUAUUUUGCGAUCCUUUCCUUCUUGGUUGGGUUCCUCGCAGCUUACUGGGCCAGCAUCGGUUUGGAUGGUAGGAUAAUGACUAAGGAAUGUGGCUCUACUUCGGUGGAGUGUUAUAGCCUUGGUUGAUACUGCCUGUCUAGACCGAGGACUGCGUCUUUGACUAGG